rnacentral:rRNA from 1 species
UACGUAGGGGGCUAGCGUUGUCCGGAAUCAUUGGGCGUAAAGAGCGCGUAGGCGGCUAGAUAAGUCCGGUGUGAAAGUCACAGGCUCAACCUGUGAAUGCCGCUGGAAACUGUCUGGCUAGAGUCCGGAAGAGGAGAGUGGAAUUCCUGGUGUAGCGGUGAAAUGCGCAGAUAUCAGGAAGAACACCUAUGGCGAAGGCAGCUCUCUGGGACGGUACUGACGCUGAGACGCGAAAGCGUGGGGAGCGAACAGG